rnacentral:tRNA from 1 species
UCUAAUGUGGCAGACUAAUUGCCAGGAAUUUAAGAUUCCUAUAUAAAUAUUUAAUAUUUCUUUAGAA